rnacentral:rRNA from 1 species
GGUGAAAAGCACCCCGGAAGGGGAGUGAAAUAGAACCUGAAACCGUGUGCUUACAAGUAGUCAGAGCCCGUUAAUGGGUGAUGGCGUGCCUUUUGUAGAAUGAACCGGCGAGUUACGAUUUGAUGCAAGGUUAAGCAGUAAAUGUGGAGCCGUAGCGAAAGCGAGUCUGAAUAGGGCGUUUAGUAUUUGGUCGUAGACCCGAAACCAGGUGAUCUACCCUUGGUCAGGUUGAAGUUCAGGUAACACUGAAUGGAGGACCGAACCGACUUACGUUGAAAAGUGAGCGGAUGAACUGAGGGUAGCGGAGAAAUUCCAAUCGAACCUGGAGAUAGCUGGUUCUCUCCGAAAUAGCUUUAGGGCUAGCCUCAAGUGAUGAUUAUUGGAGGUAGAGCACUGUUUGGACGAGGGGCCCCUCUCGGGUUACCGAAUUCAGACAAACUCCGAAUGCCAAUUAAUUUAACUUGGGAGUCAGAACAUGGGUGAUAAGGUCCGUGUUCGAAAGGGAAACAGCCCAGACCACCAGCUAAGGUCCCAAAAUAUAUGUUAAGUGGAAAAGGAUGUGGCGUUGCCCAGACAACUAGGAUGUUGGCUUAGAAGCAGCCAUCAUUUAAAGAGUGCGUAAUAGCUCACUAGUCGAGUGACACUGCGCCGAAAAUGUACCGGGGCUAAACAUAUUACCGAAGCUGUGGAUUGUCCUUUGGACAAUGGUAGGAGAGCGUUCUAAGGGCGUUGAAGCAUGAUCGUAAGGACAUGUGGAGCGCUUAGAAGUGAGAAUGCCGGUGUGAGUAGCGAAAGACGGGUG